rnacentral:rRNA from 1 species
GCGUGAAUCUGCCGGGACCAUCCGGUAAGGCUAAAUACUCCCGAGAGACCGAUAGCGAACCAGUACCGUGAGGGAAAGGUGAAAAGCACUUCGAACAGAAGAGUGAAAUAGUUCCUGAAACCGUGCGCCUACAAGCGGUCGGAGCUCGUUAAUGAGUGACGGCGUGCCUUUUGCAUAAUGAACCUACGAGUUGCCUUUGCCGGCAAGGUUAAGUGUGACGACACACGUAUCCGAAGCGAAAGCGAGUCUGAAGAGGGCGUAUAGUCGGCAGUGGCAGACGCGAAACCAAGUGAUCUACCCUUGGCCAGGUUGAAGGCUGGGUAACACCAGCUGGAGGACCGCACCAAUAAGCGUUGAAAAGCUUCUGGAUGAGCUGAGGGUAGGGGUGAAAGGCUAAUCAAACUUGGAGAUAGCUCGUACUCCCCGAAAUGCAUUUAGGUGCAGCCUUGCGGGUUACUGAUGUGAGGUAGAGCGACUGAUAAGAUGCGAGGGCUUCACCGCCUAUCAAGUCUUGACAAACUCCGAAUGCGCAUCAGUUCUACCGCAGGAGUGAGGGCAUGGGUGCUAAGGUCCGUGCCCGAGAGGAGAAGAAUCCGGACCACCUGCUAAGGUCCCGAAAUGACAGCUAAGUUAAACUAACGAAGUCUGACUGCUAAGACAGCUAGGAUGUUGGCUUGGAAGCAGCCAUUCAUUUAAAGAGUGCGUAACAGCUCACUAGUCGAGGAGUCGGGCGUGGAUAAUAAUCGGGUAUCAAGUUGUCUACCGAAGCAGUGGGAUCAUUUAUAUGAUCGGUAGGGGAGCAUUCCAGUCAGCGUCGAAGGCGUACCGUGAGGUAUUCUGGAGCGUCUGGAAAAGCAAAUGUAGGUAUAAGUAACGAUAAAGGGGGCGGGAAACCCCCUCGCCGAAAGACUAAGGUUUCCUGAUCAACGCUAAUCGGAUCAGGGUCAGUCGGGUCCUAAGGCUCAGCCGAACGGCGAUGCCGAUGGCAGAAACGGUUAAUAUUCCGUUACUACCUUCAGGAGUGACGUGGAGACGCAGUAGUGACAGUGCCGCCAUCUGACGGAAUAGAUGGUUGAAGGGUGUAGGAGUCGAUCAUGGCAGGCAAAUCCACCAUGAGAUCCGAACCUGACAGUAUGCCGCGUCCUUCGGGACAAGGCAAUAGUGCGCGUAAGCAUGCUGCCGAGAAAAUCCGCUAAACUUAAUCCUGUAGGUACCCGUACCGCAAACGGACACACGUAGUCGGGAUGAAUAUUCUAAGGCGCUUGAGUGAUUCACGGUUAAGGAACUAGGCAAACUGACCCUGUAACUUCGGGAUAAAGGGUCCCUACCCUUUUAUGGGAGGGCGCAGAGAAUCGGUCCAGGCAACUGUUUAACAAAAACACAGGGCUGUGCCAAAUCGAAAGAUCCAGUAUACAGCCUGACACCUGCCCGGUGCUGGAAGGUUAAGAGGAGAUGUCAUCGAUAAGAGAAGCGUUGAAUUGAAGCCCCAGUAAACGGCGGCCGUAACUAUAACGGUCCUAAGGUAGCGAAAUUCCUUGUCGGGUAAGUUCCGACCUGCACGAAUGGUGUAAUGAUCUGGACGCUGUCUCAACCGUGAGCUCAGUGAAAUUGUAGUAUCGGUGAAGAUGCCGAUUACCCGCGAUGGGACGAAAAGACCCCGUGAACCUUUACUAUAGCUUAUCAUUGAAUCUGGGCACGUGAUGUGUAGGAUAGGUCGGAGGCUUUGAAGCAGGUACGCCAGUAUUUGUGGAGCCGCUGUUGAAAUACGACCCUUUAUUUGUUUGGAUUCUAACCCGUGGUACGGGGACAUUGAUUGGUGGGUAGUUUGACUGGGGUGGUCGCCUCCAAAAGCGUAACGGAGGCUUCUAAAGGUGCCCUCCGGCCGAUUGGUAACCGGCCUUAGAGUGUAAUGGCAUAAGGGCGCUUGACUGGGAGACUAACAAGUCGAUCAGGUAGGAAACUAGAGCAUAGUGAUCCGGUGUUUCCGUAUGGAAGGGACAUCGCUCAAAGGAUAAAAGGUACUCCGGGGAUAACAGGCUGAUCCCUCCCA